rnacentral:rRNA from 1 species
UACGGGGGGGGCAAGCGUUGUUCGGAAUUACUGGGCGUAAAGGGCGUGUAGGUGGCCAACUAAGUCCGACGUGAAAUCCCCAGGCUUAACCUGGGAACUGCGUCGGAUACUGGAUGGCUUGAAUUCGGGAGAGGGAUGCAGAAUUCCAGGUGUAGCGGUGAAAUGCGUAGAUAUCAUUUGGAACGCCAAUGGUGAAAACAGCUCGCUGGGGGUGCACUGACACUGAGACACGAAAGCCAGGGGAGCGAACGGG